rnacentral:rRNA from 1 species
GAUGAACGCUGGCGGCGUGCCUAAUACAUGCAAGUCGAGCGAACAGACGAGGAGCUUGCUCCUCUGACGUUAGCGGCGGACGGGUGAGUAACACGUGGAUAACCUACCUAUAAGACUGGGAUAACUUCGGGAAACCGGAGCUAAUACCGGAUAAUAUAUUGAACCGCAUGGUUCAAUAGUGAAAGACGGUUUUGCUGUCACUUAUAGAUGGAUCCGCGCCGCAUUAGCUUGUUGGUAAGGUAACGGCUUACCAAGGCAACGAUGCGUAGCCGACCUGAGAGGGUGAUCGGCCACACUGGAACUGAGACACGGUCCAGACUCCUACGGGAGGCAGCAGUAGGGAAUCUUCCGCAAUGGGCGAAAGCCUGACGGAGCAACGCCGCGUGAGUGAUGAAGGUCUUCGGAUCGUAAAACUCUGUUAUUAGGGAAGAACAAAUGUGUAAGUAACUAUGCACGUCUUGACGGUACCUAAUCAGAAAGCCACGGCUAACUACGU